UACGUAGGGUGCGAGCGUUGUCCGGAAUUACUGGGCGUAAAGAGCUCGUAGGUGGUUUGUCGCGUUGUCCGUGAAAACUCACAACUCAAUUGUGGGCGUGCGGGCGAUACGGGCAGACUGGAGUACUGCAGGGGAGACUGGAAUUCCUGGUGUAGCGGUGGAAUGCGCAGAUAUCAGGAGGAACACCGGUGGCGAAGGCGGGUCUCUGGGCAGUAACUGACGCUGAGGAGCGAAAGCGUGGGGAGCAAACAGG
rnacentral:rRNA from 1 species